rnacentral:rRNA from 1 species
GAUGAACGCUGGUGGCGUGCCUAAUACAUGCAAGUAGAACGCUGAAGGAAGGAGCUUGCUCUUUCCGGAUGAGUUGCGAACGGGUGAGUAACGCGUAGGUAACCUGCCUGGUAGCGGGGGAUAACUAUUGGAAACGAUAGCUAAUACCGCAUAACAGUAGAUGUUGCAUGAUAUCUACUUAAAAGGUGCAAUUGCACCACUACCAGAUGGACCUGCGUUGUAUUAGCUAGUUGGUGAGGUAACGGCUCACCAAGGCGACGAUACAUAGCCGACCUGAGAGGGUGAUCGGCCACACUGGGACUGAGACACGGCCCAGACUCCUACGGGAGGCAGCAGUAGGGAAUCUUCGGCAAUGGACGGAAGUCUGACCGAGCAACGCCGCGUGAGUGAAGAAGGUUUUCGGAUCGUAAAGCUCUGUUGUAAGAGAAGAACGAGUGUGAGAGUGGAAAGUUCACACUGUGACGGUAUCUUACCAGAAAGGGACGGCUAACUACGUG